AGUAUGAAAUAUGCAUAUAAUGGGACAAUUUCCAUUUCGGGUAAUUGACUUAUACAAUACAGCAAAGAUAAAGCCCACUACCUUCUAUUCUAAGAACUAUCACACCCAUUACCUUACAAUUAGGUUUAGUCAUCACCACACAACCUCUCUUUGCUGUUCGACUCAACAUUAGCCCCCCUUUGUACUCCCAGACACUUAACCAGACAGCAUAGAGUUGUGUAUAAUUGAAACUAGUGACCUACCGAAGCUACAAACAAGGAUCUUCCAGCCUGAAGAAGAUGAUGAUUAUGAGGAGAUCAAGAACAAGAUUCUGGUCUUUAUCGGGUGGUUGUCAAUCAAGCGUUGCAGCCGAGUUGGCCAGUAAAGGUUAUAUAAAGCUGUAACUUUUGACUAUAAAGCCGAUAGGGGAAGACUUCCUUUAGGGUUUCAAGAAAUUAAAGAUAUGAUUGCUGUCUGUGAUGGGCAUUCCUGAAUCUCUCUGCUGACAAGAUCUUACUUCUGGGUUCUUCUGCAGAAAUUACAUUAGGGAUCCUGAUAUUGAAUAUUGAAAUUUGAUUGAUUUUAAUGGAGCCUGGAAAAUAAAUUCAUUUGCUCUUCCAUGUGGUGACAGAUCAAUAGAUGCUUCUCAGUUUGCCGGUGCUCAGGUAGAAAAAGUGGAUUGCGAGUUUAAGCUACCCUUUUGGUUUCUUUUAGAGGAUCUGCUGAUCAUCAUUCGUGAAGGGGAACCCUCAGAUUGGUUUGGAUUAUGAAGCAACUAAAACACAAACUCAAAUCUACAGCAGAUGUGAUAACUGAUCCCGGUCUUCCCUGUCUGCUUAAUACAGCAGCAGAUCAAAUUCCAGAUCAGAAGACGAAAAAUGGAACAAAAACAACACGAAAAAAGUACAGCAGAUUAGCCGAAGACCCAUGAUUGCAAUGAUUUGCUUCAAUAAUUCAGCUUGAUUUCAUAAAUGUUGGUGGCAUGUGGAUUCAAGAUUGUGGUUAAAUGGUACAAGAAAAAGAUCCAAAAGACAAAAAGAAGAAAGAAAGAAGCAAUGGAGCUCUAGAUAUCAAUAAAGAUGACGAUUGAAACAUGGGUCGAAAUUGAAUAAUAGCAAUUAAUGUUUUGCCAACAGGGGCUGAUUAUUUACAUAUAUCGGAACCAGAAAUCUUUGAUAUCGAUUGAAUCAUACAAUAGUAAAUAUUGAUGAGUCU